rnacentral:rRNA from 1 species
UGGGGAAUAUUGGACAAUGGGCGAAAGCCUGAUCCAGCCAUGCCGCGUGUGUGAAGAAGGUCUUCGGAUUGUAAAGCACUUUAAGUUGGGAGGAAGGGCAGUAAGCGAAUACCUUGCUGUUUUGACGUUACCGACAGAAUAAGCACCGGCUAACUCUGUGCCAGCAGCCGCGGUAAUACGGAGGGUGCAAGCGUUAAUCGGAAUUACUGGGCGUAAAGCGCGCGUAGGUGGUUCGUUAAGUUGAAUGUGAAAGCCCCGGGCUCAACCUGGGAACUGCAUCCAAAACUGGCGGGCUAGAGUAGGGCAGAGGGUGGUGGAAUUUCCUGUGUAGCGGUGAAAUGCGUAGAUAUAGGAAGGAACACCAGUGGCGAAGGCGACCACCUGGGCUCAUACUGACACUGAGGUGCGAAAGCGUGGGGAGCAAACAGG